rnacentral:rRNA from 1 species
ACUGAAUAGAUACCCUGGUAGUCCACGCCCUAAACGAUGUCAACUAGUUGUUGGUGGAGUAAAAUCCAUUAGUAAACGCAGCUAAACGCGUGAAGUUGACCGCCUGGGGAGUACGGUCGCAAGAUUAAAACUCAAAGGAAUUGACGGGGGCCCGGCACAAGCGGUGGAUUAUGUGGAUUAAAUUCGAUGCAACGCGAAAAACCUUAACCUGGCCUUGACAUGUACGGAACUUUCCAGAGAUGGAUUGGUGCCGAACGGGAGCGUAACACAGGUGCUGCAUGGCUGUCGUCAGCUCGUGUCGUGAGAUGUUGGGUUAAGUCCCGCAACGAGCGCAACCCUUGCCAUUAAUUGCCAUCA